UGACGGCAAAUAUUUUCCCCUUUCCCUGUUAGGACAGCAUCCUUCCUCACCUGUGCCAGAUUUUACGUUAAUUUGAUGCAAGCCAAAAACUAUGUUGUUCGGAGUGUCUUUCACUAUUAGGUCUUAGGAUAGAGUUGACUUUAAAAAAAUAGAGUUGGGGAUGUAAACAUAGCUCUAUAGAGUGCUCACCUAGUAUACCUGGGGCUUGGGGGACAACGCCCAGCAAGCGAGAGACAGGAGGAGGAGGAGGAUGAACAGGAGAGGAAGGGAGGGAGGGAGAGAAUUAAUAUACUAAUGAAUUUAGGAGGCAAAAAACAUGCAGAACACGUAUCCCUCAAAGGCUGUAAUAACAAAAUAUGGAGAUGGAAAAAAUUCAGAGCCGGCUUGCAGCUCCUGCUUUGUGUUCACUUUGCUUUCCCGUUGCUGACCUGCUGAACAGCACCCUCAGGCUUAUCUGCCACCAGGUAGCUGGCGCUGGCCUUACUGAGGUGCUGACUACAUGGAAACAGCAGCUCCUACCAGAACUCUCUGGAGCGUUCCCUUUAGCAGCCCAGUUCCUGCAGUCCAUGAGCGUGGGGUCUCGGUCUCUGGCCUAUGUUCUAACCUGUUGAUCCCACAGCAAGGCUUGUGGAAUAUCUUCUUAGGACUCUCUUGGAUCUUCUGAUUCCCCUGUCCCAAAUCUUCCCUCAUCAAGCUCCUCCGAUACUGAUUUAAAAUCAGUUGCUUUUAAUAUAACGCACCCCUUCUAAUCAUAAUUCUUAAAGCAGCUUAUUUUUCUACCUGGUCCCUGACUGUCCCUUUUGAUGUUGGCUGCGCCAUGUUCUCUGCCUAAUGGAAACUCAGAGGGUGAAUCAUAAAGCGGUUGAGGAAAUGUUCUCGCGUGACUUGGGUUGGUCUUGUGCUUCUGUCAUCACCACAAGACAUGCUGUAGCUACAGGUCCAAGGACAAUGAGCAGAUGCUCCCUUCUUAACACAUCCCUUCCUAAAGCUGUGUCUUUCCUGAUUUCUCUCAAGUCUGAACAAGAAAGAUCAACUACAUUCAAGAAGUGGGCAUGCAAACAGGGCAGAUGGCUUCCAGGCAGCCACAGGAUGUGCACCUCUGAACAGGUGGGCAAGCACAGGCACAUUUGCCCACCUUCCUCCAACAGCCCUGGCCUUAUUUCCAUAAUGCUGCGGAGAGCAAGGGCAACAGAAGUCUUCAGAAAGACCGCUAUACGUCAUUACAUGGAGGGCUAUGAAGAUUUUCCUACUGUCACGGUGAACAAAAACCUUGAUCGUAGCAUUACUGCCUCUACAGGAUGGAUUUAAACCCAAGCGCUGUUGGCAGGCUCCUGCCGAGGUCCCCCCUCCCCGCCUCCUGACAGCUGAAGAAAUUCGGUGGAAGGACCGAUUCAACACGUUUGGCAGAUCCAGAUGGUGGGGGGAGUAGAUGACGGGAUGGCCACAGCCUCAGAAGAACCCUUCUACAUCAGGAACGGUUUUCCUCUUCCGCGUGGAUAAGAAACAACAUUCCAGAAGGAGGAGGGACCCAGCAGGGGAGCCCUGGAGAAGCCAUGCAGGCAGAUGCAGUCCCACGCAGGGACGGAACCGAAGCCAAAGAUCAGAAGCUCCUGCUUUCAAUUUUAACCUUCUAACGGACCCAGGGUGAAGCCUUAGAUGAGGCAUAGUAAUCUCUCUGUGAGUCCAGUACCGUUACUGUCAGGUGAUGGAACAGCGUUUGAUUAAAGAUUUAUUUAAGCUCAUCUAUUGAAGCUGUCAAAGUUUUAUUCAGAUCUAAUCUGAUGUAGAAAUCUCUCUCUAGCGUCACAAAAGGGAAGCUUCUAAGAUUGACGAUGGGAUUGGUGUUGAAAUCCCAUGUAACAUACCUGACCCGCA
ensembl:lincRNA